UACGUAGGGGCGAGCGUUGUCCGGAGUUACUGGGCGUAAAGGGCACGCAGGCGGUGCGGCGCGUUUCGCGUGACAGCGGAGGGCUUAACUCUCCGAGGAUGCGAAAGACGGCGGCACUUGAGGGCCAGAGAGGGACACGGAAUUCCGGGUGGAGUGGUGAAAUGCGUAGAGAUCCGGAGGAACACCGAAGGCGAAGGCAGUGUCCUGGCUGGUGACUGACGCUGAGGUGCGAAAGCUAGGGAGCGAACGG
rnacentral:rRNA from 1 species